AGUGAACGCUGGCGGUAGGCCUAACACAUGCAAGUCGAACGGCAGCACAGUAAGAGCUUGCUCUUACGGGUGGCGAGUGGCGGACGGGUGAGGAAUACAUCGGAAUCUACUUUUUCGUGGGGGAUAACGUAGGGAAACUUACGCUAAUACCGCAUACGACCUACGGGUGAAAGCAGGGGAUCUUCGGACCUUGCGCGAUUGAAUGAGCCGAUGUCGGAUUAGCUAGUUGGCGGGGUAAAGGCCCACCAAGGCGACGAUCCGUAGCUGGUCUGAGAGGAUGAUCAGCCACACUGGAACUGAGACACGGUCCAGACUCCCACGGGAGGCAGCAGUGGGGAAUAUUGGACAAUGGGCGCAAGCCUGAUCCAGCCAUACCGCGUGGGUGAAGAAGGCCUUCGGGUUGUAAAGCCCUUUUGUUGGGAAAGAAAAGCAGCAGGUUAAUACCCCGCUGUUCUGACGGUACCCAAAGAAUAAGCGCCGGCUAACUUCGUG
rnacentral:rRNA from 1 species